AUUUUGUCCCCAGUCGUAACGGAAACAAAUACUAAAAUAUUGUAAAUUCCUGUGGGAUGAAAUUCCUGUGAAGUUCGUUUUUGCACUUAGUGAAAGAGCGUGGGACGCCAGGAAACAUUCAGAUUUCAAGCCUUGCACAGGGGCAGAAUUCACAUUCAAUGAGGUCUGAGGGAAGGCUGCCUUUGGCCAGCAAGGUGCUCGCCAGCCCUGGCACUCAUCUGUGGCUCUCUUCCUUCUCCUCCCUGAUGCCCAGCUCCAGUAACAUGGCUGGAGAUGUGUGUGAUGUGUCUGAGUUCUGCAUUUUACCAACCCAGAUGCUGACCUUGGGCACUGUUUUUCUCUCUGUGGGAUGGCUGGUGCCACUGGGUUUGGAGUGUUGUCCCUUAACCCAGCUCUAGCAGGAUUGCAAAGGAAGGAGGGUGGUGUGGUGGUGAAAGUACCCCCACUGUAUGGCAGGAGAUCUGAGCUUCACUCUUCACUCUGCCACCAAAAAAAUGUCACUGUUGAUCUUGGAUGUGUUUCUUUCACUCUCUGCUCCACCACAGUUCCCCCAUCUGCAAAAAUGUGAAAGAUUUUUACCUACCUGGCUGAAAACUGAGGACCUCAUAACUGGAACUCAAGGAACCUAGAAGGAAACUAUGGCCUGGAUUUGCUCAUGACAAAGCAUCUACUAACAUAUUUUCAGCCAGUACCUGGCAGAGCAGCAGUGUUCAGAUUUCUGUUUAAAUAAGCUCUUUCAUCAGAUGAAAGAACAUACCAGGAACUGGUCAGCAAUAUUCUCUGCAGAGUGGCCCCUUGAAAGGGGAGCACAGACCAGGGAGUUAAUGGCUUCCAGGUAAGGAAAAGGUGCAAUGAGAUGGAGCUGGGAGCAGAGGACUGAGCCAGGGAGCUCCUCACUCCUGAGCAAUCCCUGUUACCAGCUGCUGGUCAUCUCUGCAGGGGGAGGACAAGGUGAAUGCAGCCCUUGCUCUUCACUCUGCUGGUGAAUAUUGAACAAUAACCAGUGCCGUAAAGCCUUUGACUUUAACUGGCAUGAACCAAAGGCUUUGCUCAGGUUGGCCUUGGAAUUAUUUAGGAUGAAAUUGAUUCCUUUUAGCCUUUGAGAGGGUCCAAUUUAAGCUGUUUAGCUGAGCAGUGUGGAAAAUACAGCAGUUUAGCUAUUAUGUGGUCAAACUGGAGAGCAGAUGCCUUUUACCGAUAUUGCUGGAUCCAUAACCUCACAUCCUCUUGGAAAUACUGUUCUUACUGCACUUUCUAUGGCUGUUGUUGUGGCCACCAGCGAUGAAAAUCCAGCCUGUUUUAUCCAUCAUAUUUCCUGGCUUCCAUAUUUCUUGUGUGUCUUAUGCAGCCCUCAGAACAGCUGAUGCACGUGUUCAUUGCAGGGUUUCCACUGCAGGCAGAAGUGUGUGAGCUUUGAGACAGCACAGCAGGAAAUGCUUUUGGAAGCUGUCAAUGGCCUUAUAGUUUGUAAAGAUAAAUGUGGCCACAAAAGCUAUCAUGAAAAAUAAAUAAAAAAAAAUUCUGAGAGACUGAUUGCUU
rnacentral:lncRNA from 1 species